AAGGGGUUGCUCAUCCCCAAAAAACAAAAAAGGCUAACUCUCGGGGAUGAUAUUUCUUAUCCCUGCGGCACCUGCCUUGGCCCAGAGGCGCUCCUCGUCUUUGAUAGUGGUGGUAAGCUGAGAGACCGAUGGCUGAUCAUGGUCAAAGACACAUCCAAGACCUAGGAACUCUUUUUGUGUUGCGUGAUCGGCUUAUAUGACAUGAUAGUACAUGCUGCCGUGUUGUUUAUCCGAAGGUUUUGCUUUAAGGUGUUGAAGACAGCUACUUUUGUGCCGCACUUCUACUAGAAUAUUUAUGAGCCGUUGCCAUCCCCAUGAUCUACAACAUCCUCCCCAUGCCAUCCCCUUGCCGCCCAGAGCAUCCUCCCCUCCAGCCGCUCCGAUCCCCUUGCCACCCCCCAGCUCCAGCCCAACCUCGAGAGCGCUGGCGUCAAUCGGCCCCGCCGGCAUGGCCAUAUUCACGCCGCCAUUGACCUCUCCUCGAAAAUCUACAACAUCGAUGGCGGGGGCGCACCGCCGCUGCCUAAGGUCGGCCCUGCGUGCGCCACCCACACCCCGGGUACAACGGCCGAGGCCUCCGCCGGCCACGGCAGUCCGAGCGCCCCGGCCUGGCUCGCCAUGUGCCGUCUCCCCCUACGACCUGAGGGUGUGGUGCGGACGAGGUUGCCAGGUUGGGAUGGCUCCAAUCUUGUUCGUCGACGUCCACGGCUCCACGAGACCAACCAGGAGAAGCAGGCAUCCAUGGAGGGAUUGAGCCGAGAGCGCUGCCUUUGUCGCUCUCUGGCUCUCCUGCCAAUCUCCGCUAUCCGGUGCCGCUGUCUGACCCUCGGCAGGCUCUCUUUCCCUCCUCCGUUCUGUACAAAAAAGAAAGAUAAUCCUUUGCCUCUCCGUUCUCUUUUGUACAAUCCAGUUAACUCUUAUGAUGUUAAGAAAGUGAGGAACAUAUUAUGGGGUAUUGCCGGUUGGUCGAUUGUUUUAAUCAGAUGCUGGUUUGCAAGUCUGCCAUAUGUAUACGAGUAUGAGUACGAGACUACGAGUAAUGGAUGUUAGUGAAUUUCAAGGCUAUGAGAUACUAGAAAAUUGAGGAGCUAAUUGUAACUGCACCAUCCCUUUGAAAUCAGAAUCACAUCUUAACGUGAUGCAUACCAUAACUGAUGAUAAAAGAAAUUCGUUGCAGCAGCUGCUGGGUUUGUGGAUUUUUUUUCUGAGCGGAUUGUGGAUCUUAUUAUAGAUUCAGCACUUGGAAGCUGAAGUAACACUACAGAAGUUCUCUACUCUUUUACUCUUUCUAAUGCCCUUCCAUCUGGAGCAGUUUAAUUUAUUCAGUACACGACUUGUCAUCUUCUCCCUAUGUAAAUCUUGAGCCUGGCCAUUCUAUUUUGAGAUGAGUUACAGUAUCAUGGACUUGCAUAUUUAACCCCAUCGGUAACGUGUUGGGUUUAUGGGAUUUUGCUUGCCUUCUGCGAGCAAACUUCAGAUGAAAAGCAGGCACAAAAUGCAUCAGAUCAAGUGUUGAUGGAGAUUGUACUAAAGAGGUAAUCUGUUUGAACUUCAAAUAUACAUAUUGCUGUGGUCUUGAUUGUCAUGGGCCAUAUGUUAAUUUUCCCCAGUUUUCUGUUUUGAUUUCUCUUGCUCAAGGCUCGAGAGCCAAACAUGUGACAUUGUUUGCAGAUAUCGUUUGCAUGAUCAACUUUCACUGUAUAAGGGCAUGCUUAUGGACGAUCUAGAUUCAGGUGUAGUUGAUGAAGAAAUGGAAAGAGAAGACUCAUCCAUACAGGAAAAAUUGGAUAUGCAGAAUAAAGGACUUCAGCAAUAGGAGGGUGGUUCAUGCCCAGCUUCUGCUCGAGGUGCAGCAAUAGAUGCAGCUGCAUCAACAGUGGCAAUUUGUGGUGAUUCAUUCGCAGUUCAUCUUCUAGAGCAAGCCCCGGACGUCACUUACCUUACUUAUAGUGUAUACAAGGCCUUCCGUGCGGUCACCACUACUAAGCGUCUCCAUAUAGCAAAUUUAUAUGGCCAAGCACCUUUGCUGUGGUCGCCACGGCUGAGCCCUUAUAUGUUGCAGAUCUUAUAUGGCCAAGUUUGGUUCUGGUUUGAGAGAAAAGAAGUGCUCUUAAUUAAGGUAAUGGUGUCUUCCAAGAGGGGAACAGGCAAGUGCAUAAGCUAGGUAGAGACACGUUAAUAACAGCAGGAAUCAAAAAGAUCCAUUGGAAUAUAAUCCACAAGCUGGUGCCCUGGUGAAGAAAUUAGUGUAAGUUAAGGAGAUACAGUAGAUGUUGACCAUUAAGGGCUUAAGGCCAACUGUAGGACAUCAGAUUUGGCAGUGGAUCAACACUGAUUUGCUUCUUGGUGUUUGUUUUUCACUGUUGGCUGUUCACAAACGCAAGAUCGUACUUCAUACAGAAGCUCUUCUAUAAUAUGUAGGCUUAGCUGAUUCUCUGAUUCAGAUGAAGCUUUUUUAGAAUAUGCAGGCUUAGCUGAUUCAGAGCGAAAGGAGAUGUCAGGUGCACCUUAUAAUAAGCCUGCUUUAAUCCUGCGAACCUUUUAUCCGUUUCUUGGACCUCCAUGCUAAACCUGCUACUGACGUACCAUUGUGAACGUUUUCUCAGUUUCUUGGAUGUUCAUGCUAAGCCUGCUACUGACGUAGCAUUGUAAUAAGUGACCUGCUAAACCUGCUACUGAUGUAGAAUUGUAAUCAGUGAUCUAGAGCGUGAUCCUUAAUCCAUCUGGUUAUUCCUGAUACAAUGGUAAAACCUAUUAGCUCACAUUUCAUAUUUU